GACGUAGGGCGCGAGCGUUGUCCGGAUUUAUUGGGCGUAAAGAGCUCGUAGGCGGCUUGUCGCGUCGUCCGUGAAAACCUGCGGCUCAACUGCAGGCUGGCGGUCGAUACGGGCAGGCUGGAGUUCGGUAGGGGAGACUGGAAUUCCUGGUGUAGCGGUGAAAUGCGCAGAUAUCAGGAGGAACACCUGCGGCGAAGGCGGGUUGCUGGGCCGACACUGACGCUGAUGCGCGAAAGCUAGGGGAGCGAACGGG
rnacentral:rRNA from 1 species